UGAAUUCCCUGUAUUCGAAGCAGAGGAAGAUGACGUUGACGAGAUUCCUGACGAGAUUAUCCGUCUUCUUGAGCAUAAAAAGAAGAUCAUUCAGCUGCAUCUUGAGAAUCAGCAAACAGUCAAACUGGGGCAUUACAGUAAAAAAAAAAAGAGGGGUGAAAAACAAAAACAAAAACAAAAUCAAAAUCAAAAUCAAAAUCAAAAUCAAAA
rnacentral:lncRNA from 1 species